GGUACACGAGUGGCGAACGGGUGAGUAACACGUGAGUAACCUGCCCACAACUUUGGGAUAACGCUAGGAAACUGGUGCUAAUACUGGAUAUGUGCUCCUGCUGCAUGGUGGGGGUUGGAAAGCUCCGGCGGUUGUGGAUGGACUCGCGGCCUAUCAGCUUGUUGGUGGGGUAGUGGCCUACCAAGGCGGCGACGGGUAGCCGGCCUGAGAGGGUGACCGGCCACAUUGGGACUGAGAUACGGCCCAG
rnacentral:rRNA from 1 species